ensembl:lncRNA
AUUUUGAGCUAUGGGUCUAAAAAGAGAUUCUGGUUUGCCUGGAUGAUGAAGGACUUGGAAAAGCAAGAUUGGAAAUGUGAUGAAGAAGAAAUCUGGGGAAGAAGUGGAUGGAUCCGUCUGAAGAGACUAAAAAUGAAGAAUGGCUGCACAAAUGGGUCCAAACCAGAGACUUGUCCCUGGGAAGCCUAGGAGGAGGGCACCAGGUGGCCUAUAUAGAAAGAGAGCCUGGAAAGAAUUGUGGGAAACAUUAUUCUGGGCUGGGAAAGACUAAUUUUCAUAAUGUGACAGCAACAAUGGCAGCCGAAAAUUAGGAUGCUGGUAGAUGAGGUCCUCUUACUUGUUGUCCAAAAAAUACUUAAGAAAUAUGGUCUUGAGGAGAAAACAAAAAUGGUGGAGCAGAGAGGGCCAGCAACAGGAUGAAGUACCUAGAGUCUGGAAACAAUACCUUGGAGAGGAACUGGAGUGAGUGGAGAGCACAAAGGAACCACGAGGGAACUGACAGUGGAAAAGAAAAUAGGAUUAAGUGAUACAGAAGAAAUUGCUCACCACCACCCACCGAGACCGCAGGCGCAGAGUGUGUAGCUGCCUGCAAGGAUAGCAGUGACAUCAACAUUUCUGCUAAUGGAGAAACAGAGACCUGACCUUGACCGGGAAUUUUAUGGAGCUAGAGGCAGCAGUUGGACCCUAAGCCACCGUUUCCCCAGCGAACCCCCAGAGUCAAGAGUUGGUAUAUCAUGAACAACCCUCCUCGGCUAUGCUACCCUGCCUGAGAGCCAGCUGACUAUGGACUGAAACUUCUACAAACUGUGACCCUUUUCCUCCUU